GAUGAACGCUAGCGGCAGGCCUAAUACAUGCAAGUCGAGGGGCAGCACAGGUAGCAAUACUGGGUGGGCGACCGGCAAACGGGUGCGGAACACGUACGCAACCUUCCUUUAAGUGGGGAAUAGCCCAGAGAAAUUUGGAUUAAUACCCCGUAAUAUCAUUGAGAGGCAUCUUUUGAUGAUUAAAGCUGUAGGCGCUUAAA
rnacentral:rRNA from 1 species